rnacentral:misc_RNA from 1 species
GUAGGUGAACCUGCGGAAGGAUCAUUAGAGAACCUGGGCCUGCGCUACUUGCGCGGCUCCAACCAAUACACAGUGUGUUAUACUUCUCUUGCUUUGGCUCUGCCAAAGGUUUUAAACACAGAAAUUUAUUUUCUCUAGAAACUAGUCAAUUUGAAUUUUAAUCUUCAAAACUUUCAACAACGGAUCUCUUGGUUCUCGCAUCGAU